GGCUAAGCUCGUGUUGCUUCAGCACAACCUCUAAUUGGCGCUGUUAAAACGCAAGAGCAGAUCGGCUGCGCUUCCGGGUUUGGUCCGGCAGGCGGCGCUGACGUCAGCCUGCGCGCGCAGCCCGGAGCAGAGCGUGAGAGGGGAGGAGCGGAGCCGGAGUUAAAGUAGCCGCGCACUGUGCGCGUGAGAGACACGGAGCAAAGCUUCCUCGCUCGGGCAUCUCCAAGGUUUCCGCCUGGGAGCGCAUCCACGGCACUGUCAACUUCGGCACGGCAUCGCGAAAGACAGACACCAGCCACCCGCGACAGGAGACACUGGCGCCGGAGAACAUGCUGGCGUACUUUGUGCCGCGCAGUUAAACAGCAAAAGGCACUGAAUGAAGAGCGCGCGCACACCCGAGCGACGGAGCAAAACAAGGACGAGCGCAGAGGCUUCGGGAACACUUCAGGAGGAGCACCUGGCUAUACUCAAAAGAUCUCAUUAGACUGUGAUGAGCGUCAUCAUCUUCCACAGACUCAAGGAAGCAGAAUCUACUGGCCUAGCACUUUUUGCGGCUAUAGAACGUUGUUUGUAACAUACAGUUCUUGUAACGAGGGGGUCUAAGAGCUGCUUUCUGGAUGGGCCACUUUUGAGGAUCAGUGCAGCACUGAGACGUCGCUUCAGGCUUCUUCUGCUCUAAGCAAAUGCCUGCAAAGUUGUUCAGCCGCGCAGAUUGUUUUGAAUGUCUACUACUAGUAGUAAAUCGAAUUAGCUGACCUUAACAGGACUGAAAGCACGUCUUGUCAGUAUUAUUCAUAUAAAUGAGCUUGCCUUGACUGAAUGUAAAAAGGAUAAUAAACAUGUAGCAGGAUCAUUUUUUUUUUAUCUAUUCGUGAUUUAUUUCCAUGUUUGAAAUCUCAGGCUGACCAGUCUGUAGUCUCAGAGCUUCUGAUGUCACACUGUAAGGUAUGGAUGCACCGAAUGUUCGGCAACCGAAAUUAUUCAGCUGAAAAUAGUAAAAUAAAUAAAUAAAUAAAAAGCACUUUCGGUGUUCGGCCGAAUAAGUGAAAAGGCUGAAUAAAUUUGACAGAACAAUGACAUGUUUGAUGACGCGACCAAAUAGCCUAGCAAACGGAGUGAGACGCGGAAUGUCACGAUCUCCCCUUCCGGCAGCGCGCUCGGAGAGAUGAGGGGGCGCACACGUGCAUGAGCUAGGUGCAAGAGUGCUCAGCGAGCGCAUGCUCUUCAGAUGUUGACAACCGUGACAUUGUUUACUGUGGACAUGUGCGUUUGUUUUGUUUCUGUUCUGUCCCCUCCCUGUUUUGUCAUUGGUUGUUGUUCAGGGGUGUGGCUUUAUUGUUUUCAGCUGCCAGUGCUUAGCGCUGAUUAUAUUCGGGAUAUAUACUGCUCGUGCCCCUGUACACCACGUGGGUUUUCUGUCAUGUCGCGAGACGUAAGGGAGUAGAGUACGGAAGCAGGUAAAGACGUAUUUAUUCAAGGGCAGGCAGACAAAUCCAAAUCGUAAUCCAAAUAACGUAGUCAAGACAGGCAAAUUGUCAGGCGAUCGGCAAACAGGUAUAAACGGGGCAAAGCAGGAAUCAAAGGCGCGGUCACAGAAAACAGGGUCACAGCACAAAACAAGAAACAUGAACUAGUACUAUGGAUUGGGAGCGGAAAAACCAGCGGGGACUAAAUGAACUAAUCUAUAGUUUAAAGUAACUAAAUCUAUCGAGGAGCAUAACAUUAACAACGUAUCUAACUAUACUAUAUCUACUAUACUACUCGCGAGGUGUACAGGGACGCGAGCGGUAUAUAUCCCCAAUAUACUCAGCCAUAUAUAACUGAAUAGAACCAUUUUUUGCACUCUUCAAUGCACUUUUUAAUGCACUUUUUUGGUGUAGGCUACCGAGUGUUA
ensembl:lncRNA